UACGGGGGGGGCAAGCGUUGUUCGGAAUUACUGGGCGUAAAGGGCUCGUAGGCGGCCAAUUAAGUCGGACGUGAAAUCCCCAGGCUCAACCUGGGAACUGCGUCCGAUACUGGAUGGCUUGAAUCCGGGAGAGGGAUGCAGAAUUCCAGGUGUAGCGGUGAAAUGCGUAGAUAUCUGGAGGAAUACCGGUGGCGAAGGCGGCAUCCUGGACCGGCAUUGACGCUGAGGAGCGAAAGCUAGGGGAGCAAACGGG
rnacentral:rRNA from 1 species